rnacentral:rRNA from 1 species
UGAGGAAUAUUGGUCAAUGGACGCAAGUCUGAACCAGCCAUGCCGCGUGCAGGAAGACGGCUCUAUGAGUUGUAAACUGCUUUUGUACGAGGGUAAACGCAGAUACGUGUAUCUGUCUGAAAGUAUCGUACGAAUAAGGAUCGGCUAACUCCGUGCCAGCAGCCGCGGUAAUACGGAGGAUUCAAGCGUUAUCCGGAUUUAUUGGGUUUAAAGGGUGCGUAGGCGGUUUGAUAAGUUGGAGGUGAAAUGUUAGGGCUUAACCCUGAAACUGCCUCCAAUACUGUUGGACUAGAGAGUAGUUGCGGUAGGCGGAAUGUAUGGUGUAGCGGUGAAAUGCUUAGAGAUCAUACAGAACACCGAUUGCGAAGGCAGCUUACCAAACUAUAUCUGACGUUGAGGCACGAAAGCGUGGGGAGCAAACAGG